rnacentral:rRNA from 1 species
UUAAGUUAAUAAGGGCGCACGGUGGAUGCCUUGGCACUAGAAGCCGAAGAAGGACGUGACUAACGACGAAAUGCUUUGGGGAGCUGUAAGUAAGCGCUGAUCCAGAGAUGUCCGAAUGGGGGAACCCACUAGUUAAUGACUAGUAUCCAUAUCUGUUAAGGAUAUGAGAAGGAAGACGCAGUGAACUGAAACAUCUAAGUAGCUGCAGGAAGAGAAAGCAAAAGCGAUUGCCUUAGUAGCGGCGAGCGAAACGGCAGGAGGGCAAACCGAAGUGUUUACACUUCGGGGUUGUAGGACUGCGAUAUAGGAUUAAUCAUUAUAGAAGAAUUACCUGGGAAGGUAAGCCAAAGAGAGUAACAGCCUCGUAUUUAAAAUGAUAGAUUAACCUUAGCAGUAUCCUGAGUACGGCGAGACACGCGAAAUCUCGUCGGAAUCGGGGAGGACCAUCUCCCAACCCUAAAUACUCUCUAGUGACCGAUAGUGAACCAGUACCGUGAGGGAAAGGUGAAAAGCACCCCGGGAGGGGAGUGAAAUAGAACCUGAAACCGUGUGCCUACAACAAGUUCGAGCCCGUUAAUGGGUGAGAGCGUGCCUUUUGUAGAAUGAACCGGCGAGUUACGAUAUGAUGCGAGGUUAAGUUGAAGAGACGGAGCCGUAGGGAAACCGAGUCUUAAUAGGGCGCCAUAGUAUCAUGUUGUAGACCCGAAACCAUGUGACCUACCCAUGAGCAGGUUGAAGGUGAGGUAAAACUCACUGGAGGACCGAACCAGGGCACGUUGAAAAGUGCUUGGAUGACUUGUGGGUAGCGGAGAAAUUCCAAACGAACUUGGAGAUAGCUGGUUCUCUCCGAAAUAGCUUUAGGGCUAGCGUCGAUGUUAAGUCUCUUGGAGGUAGAGCACUGUUUGGGUGAGGGGUCCAUCCCGGAUUACCAAUCUCAGAUAAACUCCGAAUGCCAACGAGAUAUAAUCGGCAGUCAGACUGCGAGUGCUAAGAUCCGUAGUCGAAAGGGAAACAGCCCAGACCACCAGCUAAGGUCCCAAAAUAUAUGUUAAGUGGAAAAGGAUGUGGGGUUGCACAGACAACUAGGAUGUUAGCUUAGAAGCAGCUAUUCAUUCAAAGAGUGCGUAAUAGCUCACUAGUCGAGUGACCCUGCGCCGAAAAUGUACCGGGGCUAAAACAUAUUACCGAAGCUGUGGAUGACACAAAAGUGUCAUGGUAGGAGAGCGUUCUAUGUGUGAAGAAGGUGUACCGUGAGGAGCGCUGGAACGCAUAGAAGUGAGAAUGCCGGUAUGAGUAGCGCAAGACAGGUGAGAAUCCUGUCCACCGUAAGACUAAGGUUUCCAGGGGAAGGCUCGUCCGCCCUGGGUUAGUCGGGACCUAAGGAGAGACCGAAAGGUGUAUCCGAUGGACAACAGGUUGAUAUUCCUGUACUAGAGUAUAUAGUGAUGGAGGGACGCAGUAGGCUAACUAAACCAGACGAUUGGAAGUGUCUGGUCAAACAGUGAGGUGUGAUAUGAGUCAAAUGCUUAUAUCUUUAACAUUGAGCUGUGACGAGGAGCGAAGUUUAGUAGCGAAGUUAGUGAUGUCACACUGCCAAGAAAAGCUUCUAGCGAUACAUAUACUCUACCCGUACCGCAAACCGACACAGGUAGUCGAGGCGAGUAGCCUCAGGUGAGCGAGAGAACUCUCGUUAAGGAACUCGGCAAAAUGGCCCCGAAACUUCGGGAGAAGGGGCGCUGAUUUUAGAUCAGCCGCAGUGAAUAGGCCCAAGCAACUGUUUAUCAAAAACACAGCUCUCUGCUAAAUCGUAAGAUGAUGUAUAGGGGGUGACGCCUGCCCGGUGCUGGAAGGUUAAGAGGAGUGCUUAGCGUAAGCGAAGGUAUGAAUUGAAGCCCCAGUAAACGGCGGCCGUAACUAUAACGGUCCUAAGGUAGCGAAAUUCCUUGUCGGGUAAGUUCCGACCCGCACGAAAGGCGUAAUGAUUUGGGCACUGUCUCAACGAGAGACUCGGUGAAAUUUUAGUACCUGUGAAGAUGCAGGUUACCCGCGACAGGACGGAAAGACCCCAUGGAGCUUUACUGCAGUUUGAUAUUGAGUAUCUGUACCACAUGUACAGGAUAGGUAGGAGCCUAUGAUAACGGGACGCCAGUUUCGUUUGAGGCGUUGUUGGGAUACUACCCUUGUGUUAUGGCUACUCUAACCCAGAUAGGCAAUCCCUAUCGGAGACAGUGUCUGACGGGCAGUUUGACUGGGGCGGUCGCCUCCUAAAAGGUAACGGAGGCGCCCAAAGGUUCCCUCAGACUGGUUGGAAA